GACGAACGCUGGCGGCGUGCUUAACACAUGCAAGUCGAACGGAAAGGCCCUGAUUUUGUGGGGUGCUCGAGUGGCGAACGGGUGAGUAACACGUGAGUAACCUGCCCUUGACUUUGGGAUAACUUCAGGAAACUGGGGCUAAUACCGGAUAGGAGCUCCUGCUGCAUGGUGGGGGUUGGAAAGUUUCGGCUGUUGGGGAUGGACUGGCGGGUUAUCAGCUUGUUGGUGGGGUAGUGGCUUACCAAGGCUUUGACGGGUAGCCGGCCUGGGAGGGUGAACGGCCACAAGGCUCCUGCGGUAGGCACCAGUAUGGUAUGGGAGGCAGCGGUGGGAAGUAUUGCACAGUGGGCCGACGCGUGAUACAGAAACGCUGCGUGCGGGAUGCCGUCCUUUUGGGUGUAAACAGCUUUCGCCUGUGACGAAGCGGGAGUGACGGUAAUGGGUAAAGAAGCACCGGCUAACUACGUG
rnacentral:rRNA from 1 species